AAAGUGCGACAAGUGUCAUGACUUGCAGACACCCGAGAGCUGACAAAUUUCUGAAUGCAAAUUGCAGCCGAUUAACCCGGCUAUGUAUUGCAGAGAGUACUACGCUUAUGCGCUUCAUCCAGAGUUUCCAACCACGAGACACUGGGACAUGCGAUUGCGGCAAUCCACACCAUCACUCGGUGUGUUCGAUCGAUCUAUAUAGAGACUCACACACACUUCGGUGUGUCUGUGUUUCUCUCUCCGUGAUCGUUAAAAAAAGGAAACCAAAUCGGUUUACCUUGGACAACCAUGAGAAACCAGAAGGUGACGCGCUCACCUCCUAACCUCUCCUCUUCACCUCUGCAAUGCAGGAGAACCCGCUGAACUUAA
rnacentral:misc_RNA from 1 species